CACUUCUUACUGAAAGUAGGCAAGAGGUUAAAGACAUUACGGUGUGUGCUUACCAUCUGUUUAUGAUGGUUUUAUUCAGUUUCAGGUGGAAAAACAACCCGAUGGUGUCCAUGUGUGAGCAGGAGAGGCAAAUUACUGAAAAAAGGUGAGAAGGCCUUCCCAUACUUCCUGGAAAAACAUCUUAGAGCAUGGGCAUUUUAUCUCAUUAGGGCUUGAUUUACUCCUAGUGAGAGUGUCUGAAGCUGGAAGCUCCCGUUAACAGGCCUGAUCUUUCCUGUUCCCUUUCACCACGUCCUGAGCAGAGCCCGAAACACGCCGGCGUCGCACUGCUGCUGUUGCCAUUAGGAUCGGUCUGCCUGACUCUGUUGCUGCAAUUAACUUCUGAUGAGCAUUGGACAGAAGCUGGAAAGGAACUCACUGUGUCUUCCUGCUCACAUCUGCCCUGCAUGACUUGUUCUUGUGCUUUUGAACGCUCGUACUCGGCUCUCAUGUUGUGACAUGGAUCAAUCGGGAACGCUGCGAACUGAACCACCGUGAACCUGUCAGCUGCUCCACAGGAGGAACAGACAUACAUUCCCAACUGCCCCUUUGAAAGAUUUGUCGCAUGGAUGCAUUUCUCAGGACACAUUUCCUGUUUGUGUCAGAUGAAGUCAGUGAGGCCUGGUGUCAAUGACGCUCUGGAUCUUCACACACCUGCCGGAGAUCCAGCAUCACACCUCGCAGCCCCAGAGUCGGACUGUGACCCAGAGUGCUCUGUCUCCUGGCCCAUGUCUCAUGUUGAUUGGUGGCCUCGUGUUGCCCACUGAUCCAUUGUGAUGUCAUAUGUCUGUGCUGCUACCGGUUCCAUGGUAAACAGCCACUGAGGGAAGCUACAAAACCAGAAAGGUAAACCAACUGGGUAAAUGUUAUGAAAACAUGUCCAAGGCACAUUUCACCCACAAUAAUGAAAAUGAAACUUUUUUAUGGACUAUUAAGAUGUUUUUUUUGCAAAUUGCCAAGACACAAAAGCACAAAAUAUUCUUAAUUGUCAUGGAAAUAAUGGCCUGAAAGUCCUAAAACUGGUUUGAAAUAUUUUUAUAUUUAUUUUUUGAAAAAUAAUGUAUGAAAUAACCCAGACAAUUCCUAAAAAUUGGUUUCAUUUUCUUUCUUUCUUUUCUUUUCUUUUUUUUUUCUUGGCAAGAUUCAUCUAGUCACAGCCCAGAGAUGAUGCAUCACGUACCACACAAGAAUUUGUUCUUACUUGAAUCAAAUAACUUUUAUAAAGUUAUUUUAAAUAAAAAUAAACAGAGGCCUCA
ensembl:lncRNA